GAUUAACGCUAGCGGCAGGCAUAAUACAUGCAAGUUGAACGGGAUAAGUUUAGCAAUAAACUUUGAGAGUGGCGCACGGGUGCGUAACACGUAUGCAACCUACCCGAUACAGGGGGAUAGCCUCUCGAAAGAGAGAUUAAUACCCCAUAACAUAGAGUAUAGGCAUCUAUAUUUUAUCAAAGUUCCGACGGUAUCGGAUGGGCAUGCGGUUGAUUAGCUAGUUGGUGAGGUAACGGCUCACCAAGGCGACGAUCAAUAGGGGGUCUGAGAGGAUGUCCACCCGCACUGGUACUGAGGCACGGACCAGACUCCUACGGGAGGCAGCAGUAGGGAAUAUUGGUCAAUGGGGGCAACCCUGAACCAGCCAUGCCGCGUGCAGGAAGACUGCCCUAUGGGUUGUAAACUGCUUUUGUACGGGAAGAAAUGUCACUAUGCGUAGUGAUUUGACGGUACCGUAAGAAUAAGGAUCGGCUAACUUCGUGCCAGCAGCCGCGGUAACAC
rnacentral:rRNA from 1 species